GGACUCUGCGAACUCGUAAGAGGAUGUAUAGAGUCUGACGCCUGCCCGGUGCCGGUAGGUUAAGGAAGAGGGUUAGCCUUCGGGCGAAGCUCGCAACCGAAGCCCCGGUAAACGGCGGCCGUAACUAUGACGGUCCUAAGGUAGCGAAGUUCCUUGUCGGGUAAGUUCCGACCUGCAUGAAAGGCGUAACGACAGGAGCACUGUCUCAACCAGCGACCCGGUGAAAUUGUAGUCGUGGUGAAGAUGCCACGUACCCGCAGUAAGACGGAAAGACCCCGUGAACCUUUACUGUAGGCUGAUAUUGGGCUGAGAUAUAUCUUGUGUAGGAUAGGUGGGAGGCUGUGAAGCGGGCGCGCCAGCGCUCGUGGAGCCAACCUUGAAAUACCACCCUGGGUAUGUUUUAGUUCUAACCCUGAUUCCCGUGAAUCCGGGCAGGGAACAGUGUCAGUUGGGCAGUUUGACUGGGGCGGUCUCCUCCAAAAGAGUAACGGAGGAGUCCAAAGGUACCCUCAGCCUGGUUGGCAAUCAGGCUUCGAGCGCAAAGGUAGAAGGGUGCUUGACUGCGAGACUUAUCAGUCGAGCAGAUACGAAAGUAGGGCUUAGUGAUCCGGCGGUGCUGGAUGGAAAGGCCGUCGCUCAUCAGAUAAAAGGUACUCCGGGGAUAACAGGCUUAUCGCUCCCGAGCGUCCACAGCGGCGGAGCGGUUUGGCACCUCGAUGUCGGCUCAUCACAUCCUGGGGGUGAAGAAGCUCCCAAGGGUUUGGCUGUUCGCCAAUGAAAGUGGUACGUGAGCUGGGUUCAGACCGUCGUGAGACAGGUCGGUCCCUAUCUGCCGUGGGCGUACGAAACUUGAGGAGGUUCAACCUUAGUACGAGAGGAUUUGGUUGGACGUAGCUCUGGUGUCCCAGUUGUCGCGCUAGCGGCACGGCUGGAUAGCUAACUACGGAAAGGAUAAACGCUGAAAGCAUCUAAGCGUGAAGCCCUCUCCAAGAUCAGGUUUCGUAGCGGUUUAUCCGCGAGAGUCCCCUGGAAGACGACCAGGUUGAUAGGCCGGAGGUGUAAGCGCAGCAAUGCGUUCAGCCC
rnacentral:rRNA from 1 species